rnacentral:rRNA from 1 species
AGGAAAAGAAACUAACUAGGAUUCCCUCAGUAAGGGCGACUGAAGGGGGAAGAGCUCAGCAUGUGAAUCUGCGCUUUGGCGCCGAAUUGUGGUCUGUCGACUCUGGUGUUAUUGGCCGGGCUAAGUCCCUUGGAACAGGGCAGCAGAGAGGGUGAGACUCCCGUCCGCCUGGCCUUUGGAGCCGGAUGUCUAAGAGUCGAGUUGUUUGGGAUUGCAGCUCAAAGUGGGUGGUAAAUUCCAUCUAAAGCUAAAUAUUGGUGGGAGACCGAUAGCGUACAAGUACCGUGAGGGAAAGAUGCAAAGAACUUUGAAAAGAGAGUUAAAGAGUACCUGAAAUUGCUGAAAGGGAAGCGAAGGAAACCAGUGCCUGCUGAGUCAUAUUUCUCCCUCCGCUUGCGGAGUGGGCGCUGUGUCUUGGCCUCUGUCAGGCUUGGUUGGGCUGGCUGGAACUGCGCCAGGAGAGUUGAUCCUGGUAUGUCUGCGGCUGGCUUGACUGAGGUUGACGAAAUGGUUUUCUUUACCCCG